UUCUCGGUGCGUGUGGGGCCGGUGCACAGCAGCCCUUUAAUUGACCCAUCAGCCCGAAAGUAUGUCGGUCCGUUGGUCAAAAUGACUGGUGUGCCAGAUUACCAUCCCAGCCCUGUGUGUUACUCACAUGUGAUAUCCUGAAAAAAUCUCUUCUCUUUACUGAUGCAGACCUGUUUCCCACCAGCAAGGAUGAAGGAGCCAGCUCCACACAAUACUUGGCAAGCUUUCUGAAGGAAAUGAGAAUGGCUCCAUCCAUCCAGCUGAGAGGACACUUCCUGUCUCAGAUGACACUGCAUAGAUCAGGUUGGAGCAGAGAAACGCUUCCUGGCGUCAGAGGUCAUUUCCUAUACGUCCAUACAUCAGGAGAAGAGGACACUUUCUGAAUUCAGAUUUCGAACAUGAGAAUGUGGACUAACGGAGGUGAGGAUUGGACCACCAACUUUCUGAUCAGCAGAUAACCUGUCUGCCUCCCGAGUCCUGGCAGUGGAGGGUUAAUAGGAAGAACCAACAAGUCCUGACAUGUCUUCCUUUAAAGAGAUAUGAUCAGAUUUUGAAAAACUGAUCCUCAAAUAUGAAACGAGCUCACGUGUGUGAGCGCAUUAUUUUACUUUGCAAAGGUCAAAUAUGAAGUAAAGUCUCAGGAGUGUCAUUUCAUCUGCUGAUCAUGUGUAAGAAAAGCUGCUGCAGACAUCAGAUGGUCAUCCAGUGGAAACCUGUCACUCCCAGGCAGGUUUGGCUUCACAUAACUCUAAUCUAUGCUUUAAUCCCUGUCUGCACUGAAGACGGUGGGCUGUCGUUAAUGACGGUGAGAGCUUUCUUUUCCUAAAUGCUGAAUUCAGAAUUAACACGAAGUCAAGUUUUAAUGUGAUUACUCUCAACCUAAAAACCCCAAGUUAAAUCCAAAGAAAAUUUGUGCUUAGUGACACAGAGAGAGGCAAAAGGAUGUCCAUGUGUUCUGAAAAUUCUCUUCAUGCUCUCCCACAAACUGUAGAGCUGAAACUGAAGCAACACUUUGCUAAUUUCUGCCAAACAAUAAAACCAAAAAAACACAUUCAGAUUCAUCUUCAGUAAGAGGCUGCAUUUACUCACAAGAACCAUAACAAAAGUGUUUCGAGAUCAGAGAGGCUAAGGACAAUUACAGGAGGAAGCUGGAGUGGAAACUCCAGCAGAACAGCAUGAGAGAGGUGUGGAGGGGCAUGAAGACCAUCACUGGAUUCAGGCCAACCAACAGCAGGGGAGCUGAGGGAGGUGAGAAUAGAGCUAACGAGUUGAAUCUGUUUUUCAAUAGAUUCGACACCACAGUGUCUGCUCCCACCCCCACAACCUCACCUGUAGUCAGCCUGGAAUCCAGAGCCACACCACUGUGCCAGCCUCUCUCUUCACAUGGCGCUGUUGCCUCCUGUGAGAUUCCUGACACCCCUCCCCCACCC